AGACGGUAGGGUAUUCGCCUCCCUCGUCCAUGACGGGUAACGGGGAAUUAGGGUUCGAUUCCGGAGAGGGAGCCUGAGAAACGGCUACCACAUCUAAGGAAGGCAGCAGGCGCGCAAAUUACCCAAUCCUAAUACAGGGAGGUAGUGACAAGAAAUAACAAUACAGGACUUUUUGGUUUUGUAAUUGGAAUGAGUUAAGUAUAAACCCCUUUACAAGUAUCAAUUGGAGGGCAAGUCUGGUGCCAGCAGCCGCGGUAAUUCCAGCUCCAAUAGCGUAUAUUAAAGUUGUUGCAGUUAAAAAGCUCGUAGUUGGAUUUCUGUUAAUAAUUUAUAUAAAAUAUUUUGAAUAUUUAUAUAACAUUAACAUAAUUCAUAUUACUAUAUUUUUUAGUAUAUGAUAUUUUACUUUGAGAAAAUUAGAGUGCUUAAAGCAGGCAUAUGCCUUGAAUACUCCAGGAUGGAAUAAUAUUAAAGAUUUUUAUCUUUCUUAUUGGUUCUAAGAUAAUAAUAAUGAUUAAUAGGGACUGUUGGGGGCAUUUGUAUUUAACAGUCAGAGGUGA
rnacentral:rRNA from 1 species